UGAGAACAUUGCUCCUGCACUUGUAAGCACCCAGUGUCAAACAGCCUGUUGUUUAAAUUGCAUGGUAGAAUAUGUUUCCGGUUAGAGCAUUUAUGAGAUUGCAGUAGACGCGAAUGGGUGUUCACAGUCAUGGUACCCUUGCUCCCAUUGAACUCACAUCUUAAGUGAGCCAUCUAAGAGUUCUCUUACAUUUACUGUGUCCAUAAAAGAGCACUCAGGAUGCUUGACAACAACAAUAGCUACAGCCUCUGGAAACAUAAAUGAUGUGCGGGGGUGGGGAGAAAGUCUCCUCUGUUCAGACAGUUUAGUAAAUUGCAUUAUUUAAGCAAAACCUAAUUAUGGGAGAGGCUGAUAUAAUGGUCUAAGAAAACCUCGUGGUUUUCUUAGGAUGACAUCUUUACCACUGUAAUGAGUCACUCUGCCCAUUUGUGUUCAAUUCAAAGGACAACAAACUAUAGCAGGUUUGUUGUUUACCUUAUCCCUGGAAUUAGCUGUUAUUAGAGGGUUCCUGAAGUUUUUCUUCCUUGUUCAUUCUAUACCAUUGAACUAGGCAGUAGGGAUGCUGGUGCUUGCUGAUGCUGGGAAUUCAGUCUGAUACCCAGCUUGUAGACUGUCCCUCUGCAGCUGUGCAGCAGCUGGAGCAAGGCCCAGCUGUACUGUGUUCUAGAGUGCCACUCACUUUUGUAUGUGCAUUCUCUUAUUUAAUAUUCAUAACAACUUCAUACCUGUCCCCAUUUUAAAAGUGAUGGACCCCUGUUAAACACUUUCCAAAGGCCAAACAAUUUGCAGGUGUCAAAUUUGGACAAAGAACCAGAGCAAUCUGACUUUAGAGCUGUUGCUUCCAAAUCAUUAGUUAAUACUCCUUAGUCUAUAAAGCGAAGAACCGUUACUCAUGUGGGUCCUUCCUCCAGGAUCUUCUUCCACACCAAGGCAGCUUGACUUUCAACUGCACCCUGUUCAGGGAGGGUAGAGCAUAGUCUCAUCAGAAGUGCAGGAACAGCAAAGCUCAUCCAGAUAGAGCCAUGGAAACUCAGUUCCUGGAGGCAGGGUUUGGGAUGGCUUGAGGAUGCUGCAGCAGGCAGGUUUUACAAACUGCCUCCGGAAGUGGUGCCAUGUUGGAGCACUCCAGGCUCCCUCCUCUCAUCUGCUUGGCCUUGCCCCUUAGGACCAUCUUAAGAACUUAUGGUGAUUAAGUACCUGUAAUUCUUAUCAUUCUGUAACUGCCCAACAAGCUAGUGUUUCUGAACAUCCUUACCAUCUGAUGCAUUCACUUUUCUUCUGGUAGUUAGUGGUCUAGAGGCAGAAAUAUGAGUAGUAUAUUUCAGCUUUUCUUCUUUCUACGUCAGUUCUUGCCACCAAAUUUUCUUCUAUCACUUUUGCAUAUAUGUUUUCAUCACUGUGUGCCACAAUGAAAAUUAUUGUAUAGACUGAAGGUAACAAAUUUUAUGUUUUUAAAGGGAGAAAACUUUGUUAUCUAGUGAAAAUGUCUUAGGAAACAAUUUACGCCUAAAUGUUCAGACUGAGUGAGAAAUGAUUCAUAAUUUUUUUUCUUUUGACUACACUCUCCCACCUUGAAAGUAUAUUUUGGGGUGGAAUGAAAGCUCAAAAUUGAGUUUUUUUUUAAGGAAAAAAAAUAAAAUUAAGAAGUACUUUGCUUCCAAAUCCAGCUGUGCUGGAGUUUAAAUGAGUGCUUGUGUCAAUUUUAUAUGUGAAUAUUGUAAGGGUAUGACCUAUGGGGAAAGGAGUCGAGAGUGAACUGUUUUGGGAAAAUGUUUUUUUUGCACAAGGUGUUUGCUUUUUACCUUUACAGCAGCCUGCACAGGCAGGUACUGUUGUUACCUUCAGCUUAUGGAAGAAGUAACAGGCCUCCUGGCCACAGAAGUCAUGUGUACUGAACCUAAGCUAGGCACUUGGAAUCUAGAAUGUAAGUAUUUUUAUACAACACCUUAAUAUAACUAGGUAGGAAAAAAUAAGUUGUUCCUGUAAUCCGAGGCUUGUUUUAGAGAAAGUUGAGUUAACUGUUUUAUAAAGUCACUCUGAAUGUACUUUGACCAUCAUUCAUAUAUAUGAUCCCCAGAACCAGGUAGGUGUUCCUCAGCACAUAGUAGGACUGCCCAGUGAGCUAGACUGUUUACAAAAAAUUUAUAACAACUGUGUGAAAGUCUAAAACUUUCUACAUUCCCAACUGUCCCAUAGUGAUAAAAGUUUACCUUGAUUUUUGUUAUCUUUUAAAAGGCUAUUUAAGGGGGCUAAGCUGUCACCACUUAGUAAGCACUUUGUAUAAAUCAAACCAUGUGUAACUAUAAACAUUAGUGACCUCAUAUAUGAUGCUGAGCAGUCCCGUGCCUAGCCAUCAGUAUGCCCAGGACCUUUAUUUUAUACUUAGUUAAUAUGUCACUGAUCACACUUCUUUUUAAUGAGGACUGGGAAGCAAGGUGACGUCAGAUGCUCAAUGUCACUAGUAUAUAUUACAAUAGAGAAUUGAAGUCUAUGAGAUUGGUCUUUCUUUAUUAAAGACAUACCAUCAAUUUGCAGGAGACAAAAUGCUCAGCAAAGUUCACACUUCCUCUAAUUUCUGAACAAAAAGUUUUCAAGUUUUGGCUACUCAGAUUCUGCUAAGUUUAGUUUGGAAUUUGGAGGCAUUGUUAAUACUUUCUUUUAUAAACGAAUGCUUUGAGGCCCACCACUUAAAUAAGUUUUGUCUAAAGUACACUAAAGAGU
rnacentral:lncRNA from 1 species